rnacentral:lncRNA from 1 species
CUUUGGGCCAGGGUUGUUUUGAGGUCUGGUUUAGUUGUUUGGGCUUAGGUUAGUUUUGGGCCUGUGCUUUGUUUUAUAUGGGCCCGGGCAUUAUUGGGCUUGUACAAUGUAACCCCGGAGUCAUUGUCAUUGCACCCCAAGGGCUUCGAGUAGUCUAGGGGCUCCACAAGUCCAUUGUUGUGUGACCCUUGCAACCCAAUGUGGAGCCUAAGGUGUCUG